UGCCUUCGGAACGUCUGACACAGGUGCUGCAUGGCUGUCGUCAGCUCGUGUCGUGAGAUGUUGGGUUAAGUCCGUAACGAGCGCAACCCUUGUCCUUAGUUACCAGCACGUUAUGGUGGGCACUCUAAGGAGACUGCCGGUGACAAACCGGAGGAAGGUGGGGAGUGACGUCAAGUCAUCAUGGCCCUUACGGCCUGGGCUACACACGUGCUACAAUGGUCGGUACAAAGGGUUGCCAAGCCGCGAGGUGGAGCUAAUCCCAUAAAACCGAUCGUAGUCCGGAUCGCAGUCUGCAACUCGACUGCGUGAAGUCGGAAUCGCUAGUAAUCGUGAAUCAGAAUGUCACGGUGAAUACGUUCCCGGGCCUU
rnacentral:rRNA from 1 species